UUAAACAAGUGAGCGGGAGGUUUUUCUUGAGCGGCAUUUUCAAGUUUUGAAACAUUUUGAAAUGGGGAAGAAACCGAGAAAGAAAGAGAAAGGGAGUAGGGCUACAUCUGCAAAACAAACUCCCCAGCUUCUCAAACCCUACUCCAAAUUCCACCAUUCGUUGCUUUCAUGCCUCCUCAAAACCCACCUACAAUCGAGCGAAAAAGAGGCCGAGAGGCAUCUCUAUUCUCAUAAUCGACAGAAGGAUGAAGGGAAGCAACGAACUGGGUUCUAAUAAGGCUUUUAAAGGGUUUUGAGUGAGAUAAAGUGCCGAAAAAUGAAGCAAGACGAGCCUUAAACUGUUUAGUGGUGUAACAAUGGUAUGUUGAGCAAGACGAGCCUCAUAGAUGCCAUGGAAACAAAAGGAGAAAAGCAGAGGAAAAGAGAUAAUUCGCAGAGAGUUGCAAAGAAAAGUAGGGAAGGAUACGAUCACCGGUGAAGAUACAAAUUCACCGCAGUUUGUUUCUGGAGAAAGAUGAACAGAGGAUCGCAGUUGCUUUGAUACAAUAACAAUGGUGAAGCAUCAGACUCUCUAAGACUGUGAUGAUCAUUGCAGGUUUUUCAAUUGGUUUAUGGGGCCGCAUUGACAUUAACAAACAUUUCAUUUCAAAUAAGAUAAAAAAGAAACCAUGGGAAGUUUUGUUGGCAGAGAAAUAAUGGUUGCCAAAUACGGACCUGGUGCUGAAAGAAUGUGAGUUCUAUGGCCAAGGCUUGAUCUGAAUCAUGAAGACUUUUCUUUGAUAUGUUUUUUUUGGUCAUAGUAGCAAUU